CAAGAAGGAGGAAAAGGAGGCUCUCGCAGGACGGGGGACCCACGCCGUGCUAGGAAGGAAGCGAGGGAUUCUACAAAGAGGGAAGGUGUCCGGAAAUGGGAGGCAGUCGGGCCGGAACAUUAUUCAUGGACAUCCUCUAGCUGCCAACAUGACUGGAAUGGAGUGCGUUUGCUAUGAGCCAGACACCGUGCCCCGAGAUGAGCACCUACCUCCAAAGUGGCCACAAGCCCCCCACUCCCUAGCCUGACCCCAGCCCCAGUGCCGCCUGUCUCAGCCCAGAUGGGGACUUGCCGUUUGCUCAUCCCACCUCGGCAUCUCUGCUCAGCCUGCUCUCCCCACCUGCCGAUCUGAGUGCGUCCUUCCUUUUCUCCACACUCAGCUCAAGACUCAUCCCAGCCAGGGAGCUCCUGCUUAAUGCUACCAAAUUGUUUGAUCUUGGUUUUCACUGGGUCAAUUUGCAUGUUAUUAACAUGACUGUCAUAAGUAUU